GCUUGAAGCACAUUGCGUUUAUUGCUGCUUGCACACUCGAUUACAACACGUUACAUUAAUUCCAUACUGCAAUUGACUACAUUCGACUUUUCUAUAAUAAUUCACAAAAUGAAGUUUGCUCAAUAUGAACUUGAGGUGAAAAACCCACCUGCAUAAAACAGGACGGAGAAUAUAAAAUCACACGUCUCUAACUCUAGAGUUCUGACUAUAAAUGUCAUUAAAUUCAAGCUUAUAUAACUCCUGGGAAAACCUCGAAACAAAUAUAUGGAAAGUUGAUUAUUCUUCAUAAAUCUAGAUAGAUAAGUUGGAAGAUACCUCAUACAGUGUUUUUGUUAAAGGUUUAAUGUAUUUGUUUUUCGAUUGAACACAUUUCCAUCCACCAUGGGCCUGCAA